UACAGAGGGGGCAAGCGUUUGUUCGGAAUUACUGGGCGUAAAGGGCGCGUAGGUGGCCUUCUAAGUUGAACGUGAAAUCCCCGGGCUCAACCCGGGAACUGCGUCCGAUACUGGAAGGCUUGAAUCCGGGAGAGGGAUGCGGAAUUCCAGGUGUAGCGGUGAAAUGCGUAGAUAUCUGGAGGAACACCGGUGGCGAAGGCGGCAUCCUGGACCGGCAUUGACGCUGAGGCGCGAAAGCCAGGGGAGCAAAGCGGG
rnacentral:rRNA from 1 species